AAAAAUUUUUUAUCAACGUGUUUGACUGUAAUACACAUGUGUAUAUUGAGUGGUUUACUUGCCCUGUUCACGCCGGGAAGGAAGAGACCGAAGGCGGCAGACGUUGAGAAAUCUUAACGAAAGUAUGGAUUAGAAUAAAGCAAGUAAGACAAAUGGAAAAGGAAAAAGAAAAAAAAUUUUUACAGAAACAUUUUUAUACUUGUAAAAAGCAACCCUAGUUUGCUUUUUUCAUCGUGAAAUUGCAUUUCGUUUGGAAGCAAGGAGUAUAAGGAAACUGAUAACGAGAGGAUCUCCUCUUUAACACUAGAAAUGUCCAGUCAGCAGAAUGAUCGAGUAAACAAAGUUGAUAGAAUCGAUGGAAAUGAGAAUUCCUAGAUCAAUAGUUAGGUUAUAGCGUAAUUGAAAUUUUCGAGAAUCUGGAAUGUUUCGCUGCGAAUUUCGAGAUAUAGUUACAUAGUAUUCACAUAGCAAAUUGAUUUUUAACCUAACGAUACAACGAUGCAAGUACUUACAAAUAUAAUUCCGUUAACGUUAUACCGAGUGACUACGUAUACUGAAAAAGAUAUUACUGUUGUACAUUAACGCGGGAAUAAGUUAAAAUCUUUCAGCUGCCGAAACUUUUGAAACGAAUCGACAUUUCCUUAAAAUUACAAUUUCGAUUGACUUUGAUUGUAAUUAGCAAUGAUUAAUUGUGGUGGUCAACGUGAACAAGUAUUGUUAAAUUCCACAAAAAAUUACAACGAUUCUUGUAACGAGUAUUUCAAGGAAAGAUAUUACAGAUAAAUAUGUGCAUGUACAGUGUAAUAUUAUAACAAGUUUAAAUUAAUUUGUAACUUUACUUUCAAGAUAUACGUAGGCUUGGAGAAGUCAAAUGGAAAUCAUGGUGCUUCUAGUGUUAAAACAUUUGCACUCUUCCGUAUGAGUUUCGUUAUGUUAGGUAUGAAAAAGAAUAUUAUACUUAUAAAUAUAUAUAUAUAGAUAGAUAGAUAGAUAGAUAGAUAUAACAUACGACGUAAUAUUACAGUUAGAGGAACUUAGAAGAAAAAUGUUAGCGUUAAAUUUACAGUAUUUCUUUCUCAUAAUGAAUUAUGUACACAACGAAUGUAUGUACUUAUCUAUACAUCUGUAUAUAGAGACACGAUCUUCUAAUUAUGAAAGUAUGGUGCCUGUGUACUUUCCGCGUGGCGGAAAUACUAGCUAAUAUUAAUCAAAGUCGGAAUUAAUACAAACUUGAAUAACUUAAUAGGUACAUGUACUUAUAUGUGCUAUACCUGUACUUUGAGAGAAUGCUUGUUGAUCGAGUGUAUAUAUUUUGCGACGUGACUCAUAAAUCACAAAUAUCUGGACACUCGAACGAAUACAUAGCAACGAACACACGGUUAUUGAUAAAACGUGCAAUCGUCCGCUUAUAAAAUCAUUAAAUAACAAACUUUUAAUUGCUCGUUUAAUGUCGACAUUCGAUGAUUGAUCGAUAAUUGAUCAUCGAUGGUAAUCAACCGGUUUUCGUUAGAAAAUUAUUUUGUUGGAAAUUUUGUUCAAAAAUUGUGCCAUAACUCGUUUCACAGACAGCAAUAUUUCAUUAGAUUUAAAACAAAAGAAAAAUCGUCUUUAUUAUAUUAGGUCGUUAACCUGAUCGUAAAUUUUUAUUUGCGCAAAUUUCUAUUUUCCUGUUGAAGAACUCUGAAGAAAAUUGGACCGACUCGACGCGAUAAAUUUUCAUAAAAGAAUACUAUAUUUUAGAUAUUUCUCAGGUGUUUAUACUCGUACACUCUGUGCGUGUGUAUUUACGUCUUUCAACUUUCCAUAAUUGCACGAAUACGUACGUAAAAUCCGUGAUUUGAAUUGUACAAUACAGAAUGUAGGUACAUUCGUCAUUUGACAACGCAUUAUUUUUUACUUGUGACUUUGUCAUUCAAAAUCGGGGCUAACUGGCGGCCCGCGAACCGUUGUCCCUAGUUUCGCCCAUCGCUAGCGCUACCCCCUCCACUACUACUACUACAUUGAAUUUCCCCCACCAAGCAAGUGGAGAGAUCGAUGCAGUGGAGGGGAUAGGCGCUAGCGAUCAGGAAAGUGGGGGCAAGGGCCGCCAGCUAGCCCCGACUCUGACUCUGAUUAAGUUUAUCUUUGAUUGUCAAAUUGCCUUGUCAAAAGUAAGCAAGUAUCCAGAUACUUUUGACUUUUGGGUGGUAGUGUACUUGCGAUUGAUACGAAAAAUUGUGCGCGAUUGCUUCGUGUAACGAGCGAAAUACUCAAAGGAUCGAAAGAUUAACAACGACGAAAGUAUAUACCUAUGUACGUACGAUGCGUAUAUGUAUACGGGAUAUUUUUCUACGUUUCUAGAAUGUCAAUGUCAUCAAUCGUACUUAUGCGGCAAUUCCUUCCGACUAAUUCAGAAAGUAGCUACGAUAAAUUUCUUGUUUAGUCGCAGUCUCUGUAACACGUAUGUAGCGUAUUUGUAAUAUUGUACUUGAUUCUUCUAAUUUCAACGAAUCAGUUAGUUGAAGGAAAAUGGCUGUUGUCCUAUUUUUCAAAAUUCGAAUACACACGGUACUGUGAGAAGGCACGUGGAAAAGUUUCGAAGACGAUUAUUUGCCAAUAUCGACGACAUUUGCAAAUUGUACAAGUUGAAGAAUUUUUUAGUAUUUCUCAUGGCUUACAGGUGACUCGCAAUUUGCAAAAUUGAAUUUGCUUUACUACCAAACUUGUUACCGUCACGGAACGAUAAUUCGUAAAUUAUACCAAUACUAUAUACUAUAUUCGCUAAUAAUACUUAUGCCUCAGUUAUACAGUUCUUCAACUUACAUCCAGUUCAAACAGUUUCCGACUUUCGUCACUUUUGUAUACCACGCUCGUGUUGGCUGAUGUUUUGUAUACCACAUAAAUGUUAUUUUUCUAUCGACGAUAGGAUAUACUUUAUACACGGACAAUUGUUGAGAGAGUAUGUAUUUUGAAAAUUUUUACACUCGUUCUUAGAUAAUUCUCCUCACAUUCUGAAACGCAUUAUAUUACGCGCAACGAGAGAAGAAGAUUCCAAACGAAUCAGUAGAGAUCGACGAAUGUAUUUAGUAUUUGAUAUUUAGUUGAAAAGAAGCCGAAGAGGAAGCAAAUGCUCAAUUGUAUAAAUACAAACGAUAAACGCGACGAUCUUUUGUAUUGUUAACGCAGUGCUACGACAUCGCUUUGACGAUGCAGUUGCAACGUUUAAGAGGCUCAUGCGCGAUCCAUGGGCAUCGAUCGUGUGCGGGCAUCUUCUUACGAAACUUAAUUUGAUCGAUCAGUCUCGACAUCUACAUAUGCAUAUAUCUAUAUAUAUAUGGAUUAUACAGACUAUAUAUAAAUUUAUAUGGAUAAACAUGUAGAUACAAAACGGAAUGUCAAACGCAACUGUCGCGUUACUCUUCUAUUUUUCUAUGCACGAGACUUUUAUAACAUUGUAGACUGUUUAUACGCCGGCCAUUCAAGUACAAUAAAAGACGUACUCUUACCAAAUC